rnacentral:rRNA from 1 species
AACGAACGCUGGCGGCAUGCCUAACACAUGCAAGUCGAACGAGACCUUCGGGUCUAGUGGCGCACGGGUGCGUAACGCGUGGGAACCUGCCCUUAGGUUCGGAAUAACUCCCCGAAAGGGGUGCUAAUACCGGAUAAUGUCUUCGGACCAAAGAUUUAUCGCCUUUGGAUGGGCCCGCGUUGGAUUAGCUAGUUGGUAGGGUAAAAGCCUACCAAGGCGACGAUCCAUAGCUGGUCUGAGAGGAUGAUCAGCCACACUGGGACUGAGACACGGCCCAGACUACUACGCGAUGCAGCAGUGGGGAAUAUAGGACAACGGGCGAAAGCCUGAACGAGCAAUGCCGCGUGAGUGAUGAAGGCCUUAGGGUUGUAAAGCACUUUUACCCGGGAUGAUAAUGACAGUACCGGGAGAAUAAGCGCCGGCUAACUCCGUG